CUCUGGCAUGUAUAAAGCCUUUACGUGGCGCCAGGGAUAAGUAAGCUUUUUAAGCUGAAACUAAUUUGUA
rnacentral:ribozyme from 1 species